ACGGGUAAUCUACAACAGCGAACCCCCUCCAUACUGACGGGAUGUUAAGAGACUACGUUGAGCUUAAGUUGAUCCCCGCCCUGCCUUGAAACGAGCAUCGUGGAGACAUCGAUACCUCUCGCUUGUACCACAUCGAUACCGCUCGCUUGUACCACAUCGAUACCACUCGCUAGUACCACAUCGAUACCACUCGCUAGUACCACAUCGAUACCACUCGUUUGUACCAUAUCGAUACCACUCGUUUGUACUACAUCGAUACCACUCGAUUGUUCCAUAUCGAUACCAAUCAGUCUUACCAGAUCGAUACCACACGCUUGUACCACAUCGAUACCACUCGGUCCUACCACAUCGAUACCACUCGCUUGUACCACAUCGAUACCACGCAGUUGUACCAUAUCGAUACCACUCGGCCUUACCACAUCGAUACCAGUCAACAGCGCCACCCCUGGUCAUCAAACCACGCACCACUCCUCCGCCGUCACGUGAACCGGAAAUGCCCCCAAAACGAGACAACAAGCCCAGAAACUCAUUCCUGAACUUCGACGCCCUCAUCCUCUUUUGUACAUUCAUCUGCGCCAACGGAGUGGCGUUCGCCAUACGCCAGGACAUGGCCGUCCUGAUGGCGACGCCGACGAUAUUCGUCAUGCACCAGGUGGGGCUGAUCGGAAAGAAAACCGUGGUCUUGGUGUUCGCUAUUGGACUGGCGUGGUUGGCCUACUUGCAGACUGAGUCCUUCUACAUUCUCGCAGUGCACAGCAUUUUCUACCUGGGGAUACUUUUGAAAAACAUGGCGGACAGCAACGUAGCGGGGGUCUACUGAGAACUCUAGCGUGGUAUUCACCUUUAGCUAGCACGAGAAACGUCCUUGACCCGUUAGAUAACUCGAGAAACACUUUUCAACUUUAGAUAACUCGAGAAAACGUCUUUCAGCCUAAGAUGUCUCGAGAAAUGUGCUUCCCUUUAAGAUCACCUUUGGAUAACUCAAGAAAUUUGCUUUAUUUCUAGAUAACUCAAGAAAUCAGCAUCACCUUUAUAUAACGAGCAAUGUCCAUCCCCACUGAAAACCAACAGAAUGUUCAUCUGCAAUGAAAGCCAUGUUUUGUUUCGUUUACAAUUCAGUUUGACAUCAUAUUUGUAACUUUUUACCCAUCCCCCAUCAAAAAUAAUAUCAAAUCUAGCUAUUGAAAUAAAUACAACGAAAACACUUUCUAUUUUUUCCAUUUUUCUAGUGAUAUAAAUAAACAAAUGUAGCUUUAGAAGGGAAGGAAUUAAAUGUUUUUUAAUUAUUGUCUAUGUGUUUUGUG